rnacentral:rRNA from 1 species
AGAGUUUGAUCCUGGCUCAGGACGAACGCUGGCGGCGUGCCUAAUACAUGCAAGUCGAACGAAACUUUCUUACACCGAAUGCUUGCAUUCAUCGUAAGAAGUUGAGUGGCGGACGGGUGAGUAACACGUGGGUAACCUGCCUAAAAGAAGGGGAUAACACUUGGAAACAGGUGCUAAUACCGUAUAUCUCUAAGGAUCGCAUGAUCCUUAGAUGAAAGAUGGUUCUGCUAUCACUUUUAGAUGGACCCGCGGCGUAUUAACUAGUUGGUGGGGUAACGGCCUACCAAGGUGAUGAUACGUAGCCGAACUGAGAGGUUGAUCGGCCACAUUGGGACUGAGACACGGCCCAAACUCCUACGGGAGGCAGCAGUAGGGAAUCUUCCACAAUGGACGCAAGUCUGAUGGAGCAACGCCGCGUGAGUGAAGAAGGUCUUCGGAUCGUAAAACUCUGUUGUUAGAGAAGAACACGAGUGAGAGUAACUGUUCAUUCGAUGACGGUAUCUAACCAGCAAGUCACGGCUAACUACGUGCCAGCAGCCGCGGUAAUACGUAGGUGGCAAGCGUUGUCCGGAUUUAUUGGGCGUAAAGGGAACGCAGGCGGUCUUUUAAGUCUGAUGUGAAAGCCUUCGGCUUAACCGGAGUAGUGCAUUGGAAACUGGAAGACUUGAGUGCAGAAGAGGAGAGUGGAACUCCAUGUGUAGCGGUGAAAUGCGUAGAUAUAUGGAAGAACACCAGUGGCGAAAGCGGCUCUCUGGUCUGUAACUGACGCUGAGGUUCGAAAGCGUGGGUAGCAAACAGGAUUAGAUACCCUGGUAGUCC